rnacentral:rRNA from 1 species
AUUGAACGCUGGCGGCAUGCCUUACACAUGCAAGUCGAACGGUAACAGGUCUUCGGAUGCUGACGAGUGGCGAACGGGUGAGUAAUACAUCGGAACGUGCCCGAGAGUGGGGGAUAACGAGGCGAAAGCUUUGCUAAUACCGCAUACGAUCUCAGGAUGAAAGCAGGGGACCGCAAGGCCUUGCGCUCACGGAGCGGCCGAUGGCAGAUUAGGUAGUUGGUGGGAUAAAAGCUUACCAAGCCGACGAUCUGUAGCUGGUCUGAGAGGACGACCAGCCACACUGGGACUGAGACACGGCCCAGACUCCUACGGGAGGCAGCAGUGGGGAAUUUUGGACAAUGGGCGCAAGCCUGAUCCAGCCAUGCCGCGUGCAGGAUGAAGGCCUUCGGGUUGUAAACUGCUUUUGCACGGAACGAAAAGACUCUGGUUAAUACCUGGGGUCCAUGACGGUACCGUAAGAAUAAGCACUGGCUAACUACGUGCCAGCCGCCGCCGUAAAAC